GACAGAGGAUGCAAGCGUUAUUAGGAAUGAUUGGGCGUAAAGCUUCUGUAGGUGGCUUUUUAAGUCCGCCAUCAAAUCCCAGGGCUCAACCUUGGACAGGCGAUGGAAACUACCAAGCUGGAGUACGGUAGGGGUAAAGGUAUUUUUUAGUAGAGCGGUGAAAUGCGUAGAGAUCAGAAAUAACAUGAACAGCAAAAGCACUCUGCUGGGUCGACAGUAACACUGAGAGACGAAAGCUAGGGGAGCGAAU
rnacentral:rRNA from 1 species